rnacentral:rRNA from 1 species
AUUGAACGCUGGCGGCAGGCCUAACACAUGCAAGUCGAGCGGAUGAAGGGAGCUUGCUCCUGGAUUCAGCGGCGGACGGGUGAGUAAUGCCUAGGAAUCUGCCUGGUAGUGGGGGAUAACGUCCGGAAACGGGCGCUAAUACCGCAUACGUCCUGAGGGAGAAAGUGGGGGAUCUUCGGACCUCACGCUAUCAGAUGAGCCUAGGUCGGAUUAGCUAGUUGGUGGGGUAAAGGCCUACCAAGGCGACGAUCCGUAACUGGUCUGAGAGGAUGAUCAGUCACCAUGGAACUGAGAAACGGUCCAGACGCCUACGGGAGGCAGCAGUGGGGAAUAUUGGAAAAUGGGCGAAAGCCUGAUCAAGCCAUGCAGCGUGUGUGAAGAAGGUCUUCGGAUUGUAAAGCACUUUAAGUUGGGAGGAAGGGCAGUAAGUUAAUACCUUGCUGUUUUGACGUUACCAACAGAAUAAGCACCGGCUAACUUCGUG